AACCCUGGAGGCAGAGGUUGUGGUGAGCCUAGAUCACGCCAUUGCACUCCAGCCUGGGCAACAAGAGUGAAACUCCAUCUCAAAAGAAAAAAAAAAGAAAAAAAGAAAAGCACAACAAGAUUUUCUUAAGAUGCUACUCCUCUUUAGCAAGAUUUGUAAACGGUUAUGAAAGGUUCAUAAAAAUCUCACCUCAUGGUCAAACUGAUUAAGAUUGAAUAGAAUUGGGCAACCCUUGGCCGGGUGCAGUGGCUCAUGCCUGUAAUCCCAGCACUUUGGAAGGCCAAGGCGGGCGGAUCACGAGGUCAGGAGAUCGAGACCAUCCUGGUUAACACAGUAAAACCCCAUCUCUACUAAAAAUACAAAAAAUUAGCCGGGCGUGGUGGCAGGCACCUGUAAUCCCAGCUACUCGGGAGGCUGAGGCCGGAGAAUGGCGUGAACCCAGGAGGCGCAGCUUGCAGUGAGCCGAGAUUGCGCCACUGCACUCCAGCCUGGGUGACACAGCGAGACUCCAUCUCAAAAAAAAAAGGAUUGGGCAACCCUUCUGGGUUCCCUUCCACCAUGUGGAAGCUUUACUUUCGCUUUCACUUUACUUUCACUUUUGCUUUAAUAAAUCUUGCCAUCGCACACUCUUUGGGUCUGCAUGUUUCUCUAAUGGAGCUGUAACACUCGCCACUGAGGUCCAUGGCUUCUUUCCUUGAAGCCUGUGAAACCACGAACCCUUCAAUCAAGAAAAGACCUUUGAUCAGGAGAAGACUUCUCGUCUCAUUUCUGGGGACACAUUCAGGAUUUCUCCAAAGCAAAUAGAAUCCAUGAAACUGCAAAUGAUUCUACAAAUGGAGCCCCAAAUGACCACCACUAGCACCUGCUAUCGAGGACCCCUAGACCAACCCACCAAUCUGUUCUUGCACCAUGACACUGAAGACUCCCCUCCUGAGGAAGGCUCAACUGCAGAGCCCCUUCUACACCCCAGUUCAGCAGGAAGUAGCUAGAAUGAUUGUUGCCCAACUUCCCAACGGCACUUGGGCUUUCCUUUUGAGAGGAGGGACUGAGGGACUAAGUGGCUAAGUUGGCUGGACUUCCUGGGUCAAUAGGGACUUCCCUAAGGGAACUUUCCCCUAAGCCAAAAUGAGUUAUAGCUGCAAACUAAGGGAUUGAACCUUCAACCAAUCAUAUAGGGAGUUUAAGCUCUAGCCGCAGCCUGAUGUUUUUAACCAAUCACGCCCACCUACCCACAAGUGGAUAGAAAAUAAGCUAAUUCUAUAGGACAGAAAAAGAAAAAGGGGAGGGGUCAUAAGGGGAUAUAAGUAUAAGACACCCAAGCCAAAAAUGGCAGCCCUUUCAGGUCCCCUUCUACCAUGUGGAAACUUUACUUUCACUUUAAUAAAUCUUGCCACUGCCAAAAAAAAAAAAAAAAAAAAAAAGAUUAAAUAGAAUUGUCUAUAGGAUUUCAUUAAAAUUGGGGUUAACAUUAAUAGCAGACUUAUGCAAGGGUAAAAUUUGGCUUUCUCUCUUGAACAGGAUUUUUAUGUAAUAGUAAAGGCUAAUCAAAGCAUUUUGCUUUUUCAAAUUUUUGAGUCAUCCUUUUGGCAAAACAAAUGACUUAUGGUAAUCUAAAAUUCUAUUUCAUAAUAUCAAGAGUUUUAAACCUGUAAGGGCCAGUCAUGGUGGCUCACGCCUAUAAUCCCAGCACUUUGGGAGUCUGAGGCAGGUGGAUCACCUGAGGUUGUGAGUUCGAGACCAGCCUGACCAACAUGGGGAAACCCUGUCUCUACUAAAAAUACAAAAUUAGCUGGGCGUGGUGGCACAUGCCUGUAAUCCCAGCUACUCAAGAGGCUGAGGCAGGAGAAUAGAUUGAGCCUGGAAGGCAGAGGGUGCAGUGAGCCGAGAUUGUGCCACAGCACUUCAGCCUGGGCAACAAGAGCAAAACUCUGUCUCAAAAAAAAAAAAAAAAAACCUGUAACAUAUUCAACAGGCUUCCCAAAAUCAAAUUUCAGUUGCAAGAUUCUCUUUCCUGACCCCUGGCUUUUGAAUGCUACAGCUACAGAGGGCCCUUAGAGCAUCCGAAGAGAGGUAAACAGGAUUAAAAAAAGAGAGAGAGAUAAUUAAGGCUGGGUGUGGUGGCUCACAUCUGUAAUCCAAGGACUUUGGGAGGCCGAGGCAGGUGGAUCACUUGAGGUCAGGAGUUCAAGACCAGUUUGGCCAACAUGGUGAAACCCCAUCUGUACUAAAAAUACGAAAUUAGCCGAGUGUGUUGGCACAUGCCUGUAAUCCCAUUUACUCAG